GUGUGAAAGUGUAUGUCUGUGAGAGUGUGUGUGCGUGUGGUGUGUGUGUGCAUAUGUGUGUGAGUGUAAAAGUGCAUGUGUGAGAGUGUGUGUGUGUCUUGUGCUGGAGGAGGAAAGGCCUUACAAAGGAUUUCUACUUCCUAAAUUUUCAUUUAGGAAAGAUCAGGUAGAAAUGGCAAAUUCCACACUUUCCAGAGAGUACAUCACAUGUGCCUCCCUGUGCAUGCAGACAUGUACAUUUAUGUGUCUUAUAUGUAAACAUAUAAAUACAUGCAUUGUGUGUCUUCCCAGUGCAGCAAACACACAGGUACCUCUGAUGGUUCUUUCACAUGCUUGCAGGGGCACACAUACAUUAUGUGUGUCUUUCCCAUGUAUACAAACACACAUGCAAGUCACUUGUGCCUUUCAUAGACACACAAACACAGGUGUAUAAUGUGUGACUUUAAUAUGUAUACAAACACAUGAACCUCACGUGUCUUUUGUGCUCAUAAGAACAUACAUGCCUAUCACGUGUAUCUUUAUAUGUGUGUAUAUCUAUUAUUUUUCAAAAAUAGAUGAUGUAUAACCUAAUCUCGUGUAACCUGAUAUGUUCACUUUGUUUUGUUUUCUGCUUUUGGACUGUGCACGUCUUUCCACACCAAUAGACCUCUUCUGCUGUGGCAUCAUUUAAAAUCGCUUCUUAUGUUACACUGAGCGGGUGAUUAACAAUUUAUCUAAUUGCUCCGAUGCCAGACGUUCAGGUCACCUUCUGCGUCGUUUCAAUGGAACGUCCUCGGGCUUGCUGUAGCCUCUGUCUGCAGAUCAGGAUUCAUUUCUCACUUUACCAAAUGCUCACAGCAAAUUUCAGUGUCAUUUCUGUGGCAUGUUUUGCCCUUGACUUAGAGUCACUUACGAGCAGCUGUGUCUCCCCUCGCGUCUCUGCCUGGAGGGCCGGGCUCCUUGCCACACUGACUUCCCACGCCCGACCUGUAGCCCAGUCCCUUCUGUUUGAGGAACAUUUACUGGGCUUUGUCCCACAGGUUUGCACAUGGUCGAUUCUCACGUAAUGUGUAUUGAAUAGCAAACUAUUUCUACAGAAGGAGCCCCAAGGGAGAACCUGGCGGCUACCUGCCUGUCAUCUGUGCUAGAGGCAGCGCAGGCCCGGGUCAAGACUCACAAGAUCUACGACCUUGUAACUUAGCUCCUCAAGCCUCUGUCCCCUUACGAUGGAGGGCUGCGUGGACCAUCAGGCACUCAGGAGAAAGGCGAGAGGAGGUGCUGGUCACAGGGAUCCAGGAGGGUCUGUGCAAGUUCACGGCACACGGCCAGGUUCAAGAGGCUGGUACGGGGAGCCCAGAGAACCCAGCCAACUCCUCCAGGUACCCCGAUCCCAGUCAAAGCAGUGGACACACAGCCUAAGUAUUCAGUAAAAUGUAAGGGCAUUCAUGAGCGAUCCCAGAUGAUAAGGAGGUGAAACCACUUUUGCUGUAGAUCUUAACCGCCAACCACAGUCUCAGCAGGGGCCUGUGUUCUUAUGCAAUAUUCUUUUUAUUUGGUGUCAGCAUCUGAGACAACAUUGAAACAGGUAGGACAGGACCUGACCUUGUAGAUCUUGUAGAACUUGUGUCUUCUGGAAAGAUUGCCCAAGUGGGAGGUAGGAGACUGACAUUAACUAGAUGCACCAUCUUAAAAUGAGUCAUGUGUUCUUUCCAGGACUUCGUGUCCUCGUCUUUUAAAAGGGGGUAACGAAACAAACAGUGUCUAUCUCAGAAGAUUUUAUAGGUUAAAGGAGGAUAAAAAUAUAAUGAAAACUAGUCUGAAAAAGUUUAAGGACCAUAUAAAUGUAAGAUACAGGUAGUCAAAAUCUUUACAUCCGAUAGUAAAGAACACUUCUUUACAUAGAGCAAUUUGCUGAGUUGAACUAAUAUCUCUAUGCCAAUUGGAAACAUGAAAUUAGUAGACAUCAGUGGUUUUAUUCCGGCAGGUACCUUUCAAACUCUUUCAUCCAAUUAAGGAAUAAUGAAAUAGCUUAACACAUACUCACUAACUUGAAAUUUCCCUACUAUUGUUUUGGGAAUUUAUUUCUAAGUAAAGUUCUGAUUUCUUUUCAGUAAGGAUAUUUCUUUCACUUGCCACAUCAAGAGAGUGAAAAAUGCCUGCAGAGCAAGUGCACCUUGUGAAAAAGGGUUUGAGCAAUGGGGACACUGAAUCACGUGGUUUCAAUCUGCGAUGCCCAUGACUCAUCACACAAGCCCACCUCGUGGCGUCAGAGCCCCUCUGGCUUUGGACUUACGGGCAAAGCAAGGGACUUGGGCUCUAGUCCUGGUUCUGCCACCACCCACUUGUGUGAUCCUACGAAAACGACUUCCAUUCUCUGAUGCCGCACUGAUAGCAGGAGGUGUAAACAGGAGACCAGUCCUCAUGUCUGUGAGCCUGUGAUGUGACUGGGAAGAAUCAUGUUAGAGUUUCUCCCCUUUAGCACAUGUGCUUUGAGUCUAAAGACAUUAUGCGGCUGCAGGACGUACCACCACCAGUGGAUGGAAACUGCAGACUCAGAUUUCUGUUGAACACAAAUCAUUGUGCUUGGAAAAUUAAGCCUGUUUGAGCAUAGACUGGGGUAGGAGGUGUCUGCUCCCGAUGGCUUUGCAAGCGUCCUCUUUGAGGGGUGCCCUAGCCCCUAGGCUCCACACACACAUCAGUGGUAGACAAAGUAAAAUCAGAAAAGUUGCCUUGAGACAGCAUUUCUCAGCAUCAAGAAAACAUUUCCCUGGACCAGAAGCAGAACCCAAACAGAGCCAGUCGUACCAGCUCUGAGCCUCAGGCGGGUGACUCAGACAGAAACGCUUCAUCCAGCGAGCGGGACCAAGCCGGCCCGUGUGCUACAGGGAAGGGUAGCCUAGUCAGUGUUUCCCAUGCUCACGGCCGACAAGCCACUGCACCCGUCCACGGCUACGGAGCUGCUGCUUGCCCGAACCUGGUCCAGGCCACUCGUUGGUUCCGUGACCGCAUCCGCUUCCGGCGUCAUGUGCACUGGGAGCUGGGGGGAGGGGACGCGGGGCGAAGGGGGAGGAUGCCUCACCCUCCCCAAGGAUAAAGGCAACGAUAAUUGCCUCCACCCUUGUUCAACUCAGCCUGUUUUAAACAAAUAGAGGGACGCUGGUAAAA